rnacentral:misc_RNA from 1 species
GAUGAAGAACGUAGUGAAAUGCGAUAAGUAAUGUGAAUUGCAGAAUUCAGUGAAUCAUCGAAUCUUUGAACGCACCUUGCGCCCUUUGGCCAUUCCGAAGGGCAUGCCUGUUUGAGUAUCAUGAACACCUCAACUCUCAUGGUUUGCCAUGACGAGCUUGGACUUUGGGGGUCUUGCUGGCCUUUUGGUCAGCUCCUCUCAAAUGAAUUAGCUUUCCAGUGUCUGGUGGCAUCACGAGUGUGAUAAAUAUCUACGCUUGUGGUUUCCUGCCAGGUAACCUUCAGUGAUGGAGGUUCGCUGGGGCUCAUAAAUGUCUCUCCUCAGCGAAGACAGCUUUGUGAACGUUUGAUCUCAAAUCAGGUAGGACUACCCGCUGAACUUAAGCAUAUCAAUAAGCGGAGGA